AUGUCUUCCAAACUUCUGCUCCUGCUCAUGUUCUGCACAGGUUAUGUGACCUCCUAUGCACUGACCCAGACACCCUCAGCCUCAGUGAAACUGGGUGAGACAGCCACAAUCACCUGCUCUGGAGAAUUACUUGAUGAGACAUAUACUUACUGGUACCAGCAGAAGCCUGGCCAGGCCCCUGUACUGCUAAUUUAUGAGGAUAGUAAAAGGCCCUCAGGUGUCCCUGACCGAUUUUCUGGCUCUAGAUCUGGAAAAACAACCACCCUGUUCAUCAGCAGAGCCCAAGCUGAGGAUGAGGCUGACUAUUACUGUCAGUCAUGGGACAGCAGUGGUAAUAACCACAGUGUUACAGGGUGGUGGGGAAGUAAGACAACAACUUUUGCACAUCUGUGUUUAACUCUGUAUCAGCUCUAG